ACUUAACAGAGGUCCUCAGAAAGAGUGUGUAUGUUUGUGUGUGGACAUUUUGAGUCUGCUGGGAUAUGUGCUAUGACCUUAAGGAAAUGCAGUCAGGAUCGCAGGGAGCUUGGAGCCUACAUCCCAGAGGACUCCCAAGGUGGGGGACACCCUGGACCCAUCGCAGGGCACAUUCACACACAUUACGGAGAAUUUGGGAAUGCGAAUCAGCCUACAAGGCGUGUCUUUGGACUGGGGAGGAAACUGGAGUACCCGGAGGAAACCCCCAAAUCAUGUGAAGAACAUGCAAGCUCCAUACAGUCAAACCCCCAACUCCGGAGGUGCUAGGCAAAUGUGCUAACCACUAAUUCACCGUGCUGCCCAUCUACAGGAAACUUAAGCAUAGACGGAUGAUAAGGAUGGUGAGUGCUUCAAGACCUUCAUAACACAUGGCUCCUUUCUCCAAAACGUUUUCCUGAGUAACCCCAGGACAGUUCUAAAAGACAGAUACAAGCGUUUUUGUUUUACAAGAGUUUUGUUCUUCAUCACUCUGGUCUUCCUCUUGCUCACGUAUAAUGUAAGGGCGAUGAUUUCAUAAAUAUUCAGAAUGGUGUUAUAAGCUGUACCAAUCAUUUAAUGACGAAUAAUAGAUGCUAAUAUUUCUUAGCCAAUCAUUUUUUAGUCCAAUCGAAUAACAUGCAAUCACAAAGGUACCGCAGUUCUUCAUUGCUCUGCUCUCUCCUCACUGUCUCUUCUCUUCUCUUCUCU
ensembl:lncRNA